rnacentral:rRNA from 1 species
UACGGAGGGGGCUAGCGUUGUUCGGAAUUACUGGGCGUAAAGCGCACGUAGGCGGCUUUGUAAGUUAGAGGUGAAAGCCCAGGGCUUAACCCCUGGAAUUGCCUUUAAGACUGCAUCGCUAGAAUCGUGAAGAGGUAAGUGGAAUUCCGAGUGUAGAGGUGAAAUUCGUAGAUAUUGGGAAGAACACCGGUGGCGAAGGCGGCGAGCUGGUCCAUUACUGACGCUGAGGCGCGACAGCGGUGGGGAGCAAACAGG